GACGAACGCUGGCGGCGCGCCUAACACAUGCAAGUCGAGCGAGAACCAGGGCUUCGGCCCUGGGGACAGCGGCGAACGGGUGAGUAUCACGUGGAUAACCUGCCCUCGGCACCGGAAUAGCCCGGGGAAACUCGGAUUAAUGCCGGAUAGCCCCUUCCUCCUGCGGGAGGUCGGGAAAAGGUAGCUUCGGCCUCUGGCCGAGGAUGGGUCCGCGGCGGAUUAGCUUGUUGGCGGGGUAAUGGCCCACCAAGGCGACGAUCCGUAGCUGGUCUGAGAGGACGAUCAGCCACACUGGGACUGAGACACGGCCCAGACUCGUACGGGAGGCAGCAGUGGGGAAUCUGGCGCAAUGGGCGAAAGCCUGACGCAGCGACGCCGCGUGCGGGAAGAAGGCCUUAGGGUUGUAAACCGCUUUCAGGAGGGACGAAGCCACUCGGGUGAAUAGCCCAGAGGGUGACGGUACCUCCAGAAGAAGCCCCGGCUAACUACGUGCCAGCCGCCGCGGUAAUAC
rnacentral:rRNA from 1 species